rnacentral:snRNA from 1 species
GUGCUUGCUUCAGCAGCGCAUAUACUAAAAUCGAAACGAUACAGAGAUUAGCACGGCCCCUGCGCAAGGACGACAUGCAAAUUCGUGAAGCCUUCCAUGUUUUU